rnacentral:lncRNA from 11 species
CGGCAAGCGACCCAAUGGUCGCCGCCACUGCCACUGCCACUGCCACCGCUUCAAGAGCGCCCUGCGAGGAGCUUUCCUCCGACCAAUGUCCUGAAGGGCACCUUUAUUACCACCCCGCUAAAAACAGUACUUAUUUAUCUACCCGCAUUUCUGCUUUUGACCUUCUAGGUGGACAGAUUCUUCCACAAAAGAAUAGGCCACAAAGUACCGAGGGACGCCUGGCAAACUUCACUAACCGCGGAUGUUUCAGAAUGGAAUUCAGGAAUCUCACCAGGCUGAAAGCAAAUGACAGAAGACUUUAUUCCAUCUGCACAGAAAGGACACUUGUACAGCAAUGGGUGCUCAAAAGGCACAAGUGUAAAAGCAUAAUAAUAAAGCCGGCAUUUUGAUACACAAG